GUAGGGAAUAUUGCACAAUGGAGGAAACUCUGAUGCAGCGACGCCGCGUGAGUGAUGAAGGCCUUCGGGUCGUAAAACUCUGUGAUAAGGGAAGAUGAUGACGGUACCUUAUCAGAAAAGACCGGCUAACUUCGUGCCAGCAGCCGCGGUAAUACGCGGGGUCUAAGCGUUGUUCGGAAUCACUGGGCGUAAAGCGGGUGUAGGUGGCUAUGCAAGUUGGAUGUGAAAGCCCCGGGCUCAACCCGGGAAGUGCAUCCAAAACUACGUAGCUUGAGUGCGGGAGAGAAAGGCAGAAUUCCUGGUGUAGUGGUGAAAUACGUAGAUAUCAGGAGGAACUCCGGUGGCGAAGGCGGCCUUUUGGCCCAGCACUGACACUCAGACCCGAAAGCGUGGGUAGCAAACAGGAUUAGAUACCCCAGUAGUCC
rnacentral:rRNA from 1 species